rnacentral:rRNA from 1 species
UCGCUCCUACCGAUGAAUGGUCCGGCGAAAUCUUUGGACCGUGGUCUUUGGGUGGGUUUCUACCCUUGACUUUGGGAAGUUGAUUAAACCUUAUCAUUUAGAGGAAGGAG